rnacentral:rRNA from 1 species
UACGUAGGUUGCGAGCGUUAUCCGGAUUCAUUGGGCGUAAAGAGCUUGUAGGUGGCUAUGUAAGUUGGACGUGAAAACUCCGGGCGUAACUUGGAGAUGCCGUUCAAUACUGCGUAGCUUGAGUAUGUCAGAGGGAAGUAGAAUUCCUGGUGUAGCAGUGAAAUGCGUAGAUAUCAGGAGGAAUACCCGUGGCGAAGGCGGCUUCCUGGGACAUAACUGACACUGAGAAGCGAAAGCUAGGGGAGCAAACGGG